ACGGAGACAUGGCAUGAAGCCGGAGAGUGAGAGACAUUAACUCAUUAGACUGGAACUUGAACUGAUUCACAUCUCAUUUU
rfam:Pongo abelii chromosome 6.